CUAUUUAAUCUGGAGACUCCUGAAAGAUCGGUCCUUUCCUUUCACUUACUCGACUGCGCUCACUGAAGAAGUCAAGAGGAAGAAAUGCCUCCUUCAGUAACAUACAGAAGACGAAACAACCUCAACAGCUCGAUCAUCUAUCUUAUGCCAUUUGGUGGACACCUGUAUGAGCCAGAUGGAGGAUGAUGGCUGUGUUUGAGCUUCACCAGACUGUCCCAGUGAUGACUGUGCUGUGGCAACACCACAACCUGCCAUGGCAGUAUAAUUACUUGAGAAAAUGGGUCUGAGAGAGGAGCUCCAACAAGAGGACUGCGACCAUCUGCAGCAAGUCAUUUGUGAAAAUUCUCAAGGUCUCAGCUUCAGGGGGUGAAACCAGAGAGAUGAUGUUGCAGCAGCACCUGGAACGGAUACUGUUUAACUGAUCCAAGCUGAUACAUUUGCAGGUAAUAAGUGAGACACUGCAAACACCUGAUGGGUACUGGACAAGUGGAAUUGUUUUUCCAAAUCAGAUAUAUAUUUACAUUGUCUGACCCAAUAUGAAUCAGCCAAAAAGGAGUUGUGGAACCUUGCCUGGAAAGGGGAAACUGUUGGGCCCCCACCUGGGGACCUAGGCUUGCUGACCCCUGGCAUCAGACAGCAGCAUUUGUAUUAAUAUAAUAAAUCAAUGCAGUGUGAAUUGGCAUGCUAUGUGUGAAAAUAACAUUUGGUCUGUAAAGAAAUAAAAAAACAUUUGAACUCAACCUCUAAAUCAUUUGUUAAUUUAAAUUAAAACUUGUUGGAUGAUGUUAAACCCCAGGAUUUAUGCAGGUGUGGAGGCAAACUAUUUUUAGUUUACACUUAAAGCCAUCAUAAUUUAGCCAUAGGCUUAAAUACUGUACAGAGGUACUAGUUACCAGUUAAAAUUUGGAUAAGCAAUAUGACUAUUUUAAUUACUCCAUCAAAUAAUGUAGGUAAUGUGGUCCUAAAGCGGUGGAAUACUGAAACUAUUAUCAUGGGUAGAUUUGAAGUGACAUACUUGGGAUUAGAUGUAAAAAUGUGUGGCAAUUGGGCCAGAUAUUGGCUGGUACAAAUAUUUCUGUAGACGGUAAUUGGCUUAAAAAGUAAGCUAUUUAGUGCCACAAGACAAAGUAACCAGUUGAUAGGGCUAUAUUGGCUCAAACUGAGGAUUAAGCCAAAUGAAAAAAAAACAGAUGAGCUGUAGGAGAAGCCUACAAUAGAUGUUGAAUGGUUGUUACGAUUGUUUUUACUGUGGUUCCAAAUUUUAAACAGAUGUAUUGGUGUGUUUACUGCUGCCAAAUGUUAAGCUUGAUUGUGUUCUAUUAAAAAGUCAGAUUUUUUUUUUUUUUUAAGAGUUCUAUUUAAACACAUUUAUUGCAUAAAUCAAUGAAAUGUAAAACAAUUUAAAAUUACAGUGAGGAUGAGCGAAUGUGAGGACACCUGAAGCACACAGAAUUACAGCAAUAGUGCCAGUCUAAAAAUGUCAUCAAUGCAAGUUCAGGUUGAAUUUGUCUUCCCGAGUCAUGGUGCAGAAACCUGUUAAGCUGCAUUUUUUUUUUUUAAAAAAAAGAACA